rnacentral:ncRNA from 1 species
AAUGACGGUACCAGCGAGUCUGGAAACCUGGACCGAAAGGGUUGGGUUAACUGUUUCAUCACGGUCGUGAUUGAGAUCGGGGUUUGCAAUUAUUCCCCAUGAAC